UAUAUAUAUAUAUAUAUAUAUAUAUGUAUAUGUGUGUGUGUGUGUGUAUGUAUGUUUACAGUAGGUAGGAUCAUUAGUUUUAUAUUCUUUGAUAGUGUCUUAUUUAGAAUUGCUUAUUUUUUGUAGAGUUUUUUAAAACUGCAUGCCAAAUUCUUCUUUAGGCAAAGUUUGUGAACAUCAAAUAUUUUAUUUACAGACCUUAUUAACCUUUGCAAAAAAUUUGUCGCUAUUUUAGAGAAUUAGGUAAGUUUAUAAUGACUAAAUCUAAAAUUCUGUAGAUGGGAGUCAAACCUUCUAAAACACCCAGUCUAAGAUUAUGCCAAUUUUUCAUGUGUUGAAGUCAGUAUGACAGACCGACACGCCCACAUGUCAGAGCUGACGAAUUCAAAAAAGGAAAUAUAUAUGUUUUUGUAUAUCUAUAAUAUAUGUGUGUGUAUGUGUGAGUGUGUAUGUGUGUGUGAGUAAAUAUAAGUUGUUUAAGAUUUUAUAGAAAAUUUAUGUUUAUUAUAUGCAUACUAAAGUAAUCCUUUAAACCCCUAUGCCAUACUAAACAAAUUCUAAAAGGAACAUGGGAGUUUAAAGCAUUGCGCAACACAUAGAUGGGUCUGCUGGCUCUUUUACCUGUUUCAGUUCGUCCUCCUCAUCCUUGAUUUUUUAUGGAAGGACGACGGCCUUUGCAUUUCGCGAUUCUUGGAGGAGAAAAACAUGUCUACCUCGACCCGCCACAAAGCAGGAAAAGCAGUUCAAGCUCAGGUUCCAACUUAGAACCACUGGAUAACAUUUGAAGAUAACUAGUGAACUCUACUCCCUCAUAAGAGAAUGCUUUGUAUAUUGAAGAAGCAUCUACAUCAACUAUGUAACAUAUUCUUGCCGACCCACCUGUCUCUGCCUCUUCCGUCGUCGUCUUUGAAGCCUACGUCAUCAACACUUCUAUGGAGUUGAUGGUUGAACCUUUCCUGCCCAAAUCCAUAGGUUUUCAAAAAUUUCCAUGAGUGAAGAUCUUUCCACCACAAGCAGUAGUAAUUUAUGAUUAGCGAUUGGGAACAGGACUUCAGCCAUCGGAGUUGUAUCUAUGCCAUUUCGUAAUCUUAACUUUCAUACAAAUAAAUAAUUUUAAAGAA